GACAGGACAUUAAUAUGCAAGUAUAAGUACAAUUGCAUAAUAUCUUGUAUAGAAACAAAAGAAAAUCGGCACGUACAACCGGCACUUAUUACAUUGGAGCUACAGGUCACAUUACAUGUGAAAUUUAGUAUAACACUUUCAAAGGAUAAACAAUUUAACAUGUGAUUCAUCCUCCCAUAUUGUCCUUUUACUAUGUCUUCUUGCCCACUGCUGGGAACUCAAACAUCUGACUUGGCAUAACCCUCAAAUGCUUGGCCUCACAUUGAGACGGGAUGCGAGCUUUUGACCCAGAGAUUUAUCUGCCUGCAUUGCCAAUACAAAGAAUAACACAUCAGAAAAACAUGGCUGCUUUAUUCUAAUACUAACCCUUCAUAUUCCAGUAUAACAUUAUAAAGUUACUUAACUGUACAAAUUCACAAAUGCAAUAAAUUAUAAAUAGACUCACCUGAGACCAGUAUGAGAUCCAAACGCUGCGAAUCUCAUGGGUGACACGUGGGUCUGAUAGGGCAUCCACCCAUCGGUGGAUGAAUCGCUCUUGCCUGCAUGAAGAUACACGAUUAAGAACAAAUAUGAUGUUUUUUUUCAGGGCAGACAACUAUGAUGUUUGAAUACAAUUAUUUUCAUAUAGAGACAUCAUAGGGUUGCCAGGUACCUGUCUGGCGCCCAAGAUCUGUAUCUCUCUCCAGGUUGCUUAAAGUUGUUCUCCUUCUCAAUGAUGCACUGAAAAACCAAAAAAACCAACAUACUCAAAAUAUACAAAAAGUUGCCAUAGGAAUUAUUAUGUGCAGCAACCUAGGAAAAUCCAGAAAUGCAAUCGGUACAUAUGUAUAUACCUACACUAGUGUAUGUGCCCGGGUGACUAAAAAAAGGGAGAGCUGGAAGAAAAGAUAAUGUACAGAAGAGAUGGGGAAACUAAGGUAUAUUCAAAGCAAUAUUCCGCAAUUGAUAGAAACUGACCUUCUCACGCUUUCCAGAAAGGAUAUUAGGAGGAAUGGGGAAGCGCUCAGCAUGACGAACAGGAUCAUACCUUGAAGGGAAGUAAUUAACCUGAAGAUUAUAGCAACUCAUCAGAGAAAACUAAAAUGAAUAAACAAGCAUACAAUUGGAGUUGUCCUCCCAGAAUAUUGAGCAAUCUAAGUAUACAAGGGCCAAAGGGAUUCCAUAUGAGACAUAACAAUUGAGUAAAAUAAUAAUACCUCCUCAUCCCUGUGCAUGAAAUUCAUGAAUCCCUCAUGAUGAUUGUUAUGAUGAGAACACUUGGGAGCAUUCACUGGGAGCUGCAGAUAGUUCGGGCCAAGACGGUGCCUCUGAGUAUCAGAAUAGGAGAAGAUUCGAGUUUGGAGCAACUUAUCAUCUGAAUAGUAGACACCAGGGACAACAAUGGCAGGGCAAAAUGCAAGUUGUUCAUUCUCUGCAAAGAAGUUAUCAAUGUUUUUAUUCAGAACCAGACGGCCAACUGGCUGCAGAGGAAGAAUAUCUUCAGGCCAGGUCUUAGUUACAUCAAGUGGAUCAAAGUCAAAUCUGUCCUCAUGAUUGGGAUCAAUUGUCUGAAUAUAAAGUUUCCACUCAGGGUAGUUGCCAGCUGCAAUGGAAUCAUAGAGAUCCUUGGUAGCAUGGCUGUGAUUAGCUCCUCCAACCUUAAUAGCUUCAUCCUCCAACAAACACUUGACUCCACACGUAGGUUUCCAAUGAAAUUUCACAUACUGUACUUUCCCCGCCUUAUUGAUAAGGGUAUAGGUGUUAACACCAGAGCCUUCCAUGUGCCUGUAAUCUUGUGGAACUCCCAGAUCAUCAAAUAGGAAGGUGAACAUGUGCAGGCUUUCUGGGUGGUGGGAGAAGAAGUCAAGGAUCCUCCAAGGCUCUUGAAUGUGCGACUUGGGGUUCGGUUUGAGAGCAUGGACCAUGUCCGGGAAUUUCAUUCCGUCACGAACAAAAAAGACAGGGAAAUUGUUUCCAACCAGGUCAAAAUUACCCUGUGUUUAAGAACAAAGUCGCCACAUGAGUACUAACAACACAGCAAAAUAAACCUGAAUAAAGUUGUAUAUAGUGAAUAAUAAUGUUACCAAGAAAUCAACCAUCUGUAUAAGCAUCUAGAUUACAGAUGGUAUGCUACAUGAGCAAUCUUUUACAGCCAGGUGACUACCCCCAUUAGUAAACGAAAAUGAAAAGGCAAAGAAAAGAAAGGAAUGAAUGCAAUCUUUCAUCAAAGUCACAAGACUGCAUAAUUUCCAACAACUAUAAUUAGUCAAAUAUGAAUUGAGUACUUCAUAUUUUGUCACCACAGCCACCUCAGCUGCCACUACAGACACCAAUACAUAUCCACUAAAUAUGCCUAUGCUAUUGAAAAUAAAAAUAAAAUUAACACAUUGAUAAUAUAAAGGUAAAAACCUCACCUCUCUGGUGUAAAACUUCACUGCAAAACCACGAGGAUCCCUCAGGGUUUCAGGGCUGCCACGCUCAUGGAUAACAGUGGAGAAACGCACAAUGACAGGUGUCUGAACACCGGGGGCUCGAAGGAAGUCAGCACAUGUAAGCUGAGAAAUAUCAUGAGUGACCUCGAAGAAUCCCUUCGCACUGGCUCCCCUAGCAUGGACAACACGCUCUGGGAUUCGUUCUCUAUCAAAGUUGGCAAGUUUCUCCACCAGAUGAUAGUCCUCAAGGAGAAUUGGGCCUGACAAAUAGACACAGAAAUUUAAUUCGGAACUGCACCGACUCAACUCACCAUAUUUAAGCAUCUAGAUUACAUGCAAAUAUAGGAUAAAAAUGAAAUUAGUUGUUAUACAUUCCAGAACAUCAAAUAAAGAUGAUUGCUGCUCAGUUGCAAAUAUUCGUAAUUUUUAUUUACAUUUAGAAGGUAGGUUUUCAGACAACCAGAUGAUCAAAAAACCCAUCUUGACAAACCAAAAGGAGGCUGGAGGAAUUAAAAGAGAACCAACAGUGCGGGAGAAUCAUUUUUCAACUAAAGUAAGCAUAAAAUUUUAAAAUAAAUGUCAAUAGGAAAAGGAUCAGCUUCAAAUACAAGAUAUAUAAGUAUAUAUACAUAUCUUAAAUCCCACAAGCGUUUCCAAAGAUUAAUCAUCCUCAACAUGGUAGUGGUGGGAAUAACAUCCAAAAAGCAGUUUACAGCUCAUAAUCACAUGAAUAUCAAAAUCUUGUUCAGAAAAGUUGAGAAAACCAUCACAAAAAUUCAAAACCCAGGUAAGCGAAGAACCAAUGAUAACAAAGAUGAAUAUAUACACACAAAUAGUGAAUAGCAUCAUAAGAUAGAUUGAACAUGAAGCGCAACUAAAAAAACAAUAAAAUAUAAAAUAUAAACUGUGUUGCAAUUGAAAAGCCAGCAUCAAUCAACGAAGAGUUGUGAUGAAUUACCUCUAGAUCCAACAGUCAAAGAAGAGUUGUUGUUCCAAACAGGAGCACCGGAGUUUGUGGUCCAGAAUGGGGAAUCAAAAGCACUUGAAGGGCGGUACUGCAACAUACACAACGAAAACGAAACAAGACCAUGAUGAGCUAAAAGAACAACAAACACAAAAUUUCGAGCUACGCUUAAAUGACCAAUCUGAUUGAUCAAGAAGAUUAAUUCAUCAAGAAAUCAAACUUAAACAAAUCAAGAGAUAUUAUAACAGGGAAAUGAGUACCUUGUAAGGAUCCAUGGAGAAAGAGGGGGAAGGAGGAGUUUGAUAAGAAGGUGAGAGAGCAGAGCAAAGCCACCCAAAGGGAGGGUCGUGUGGCAAAUGAGAAUCGAAGAGCGAAAUGUGAAAUUGGGGAAUUUAUAAACACUUGCGGGUCGUGGGCGUGGCUCGCGCUUCUGCGCAAAUUACCAAUCUCAGCAGGUUAUCUUUAUCCACACACAGAGUGGGAGGUCAAGAGAAGAGAAGACAUAUCUUUGCCAAUUUAGCGUCGCGAGUCAGAACGAUUCUCGCCAAACCUGUCAACGAAGCAUUCUUGUAUGCACAAUUGUGGCAAAACGUCCUUCACUCACUUCAAAUCUUUUACAACCAAUUUUAUGAGGAGGGAUUUUUUUACAAAAAAAAUAAAAAAUUAUACAAUUUUAUGAGGAGAUGGUAUGCAACAAAAAAACAGAGGGGAUUCAGAUUUUUUUUUUUUAAUGGAAAUUAUUGUCCAAAAACAAAAGAAACAUUGAAGAAAUUGAGAGUUCAAUUUAAAAGUAAAAGAGAUCAUUAAAAUGAGUAAAAGAGACUAGAAACACCAUAAUUGACUGUGUAAUUAUAAAAUAUAUGGAGUCGUUUUUUUAUUUUUCAAAUUUUGUGAACAUAUUAUCCCUAAAUAAUGAACACAAAAAUUGAUUUAAAUAUAAUGUUGGUGUUGAUUGCAAUUAAUAAUAGCUAACUAUAGAGAUUUGAUUGAAACAAUUAAAACAUUUCACCACGACAACAAGGUCAAGAAUGCAAGUUGUUUAUUAUUAUGAAUUGGUUUCAAGACGAACAAUUUAACAACAAAUUCCAAACCUCUAUAUUUAGGAUUCAUGCAUUUAUCUACAUUUUAUGAAACUAAGUUGCUCAAAUAAUCUAACCAUUUAACAUGACACAUCAUCAAUUUUUAACCUAAGAUUUUUUUAAAAAAAAAUUGAAGUUAAUUUUAAAGUUAACGUGCUUGAGGGGUUUUUUUUUUCAUCAUGCUUCCUCCUUGAGAAAACUGUGAAUAAAAUUAAUUAAUUGCUACUUAUCUUCAGCUUAUAUAUUGAACCCUAAAGCAUAAAGCGAACUUCAAAACUUUAAUUUUUUGGCCACACAAACUUGAGCAAAGUAUGUCUUAUCUUUUUCACAAGAUUAUUCACUCUCAUUCUAAAUUCAUCGUGAUAUGUUAAGAAAUAACAAGUUUCACGAUGAACUAAAAAAGAACUCUCAAGCACGUUAACAUUAACGUUAGCAUAAGUUUUUGGAAAGAACGAAAAAGACCUUAAUUUAAAGAUUGAUGAUAUGUCAUAUGAAUGGUUAAAUUAUUUAGUUUAAAUUUUACGAAAUAUAAAUAAAUACACGGAUUCUAAAUAUAGAAAUUUGAUAUUCAUUUGCCAUAAAUAUCACUUUAAGAGUGAAAAUCCAGAAUACUAAACUAAAAUUAUAUUUCUUCACAAAAAUUGCAUCUAAAGAUGAGGAUAAAUUGAUGUUCAUCCGGACAUUGAAAAAGCACAAUAUAUCGUGAAGAUAUUCGAUAUAUUGAAAACCUCGCCGAUAUUCAUGUAGGAAGGCUAAACGAUUUUUUUAUGGCAAAAACUUCAACAACAACAACAAAAAAAGAGGCCUGGAAAAUUAUUAUUAUCAUAAUCGUGGUGGGAAUUCAAAAUUGAAAAUAAUUGAGAACGUCAUGCAUUCAUCGUUCGUUAUCCAGGUCUUGGAGCUUUGCUAACACCUAGGCGCAACCACUUAAGGCAGUGGCGGGUAUGGGUGACGUGGUCCACUCACAAGACGCCACGACCACCAAAGUGUACCUUGAAACGCGUGCUCUUAGAAAAUAGCACAGAGAUUCUCUCUCUCAGGGGAUAUGCUUGAAAUUUAUGAACAAAACAGAAGGAAAAAUAAAAACAAACAAGAGGCUAUUUUUGGUGUUGUCUGUGUGAAAGCCGCCAAAACAGCAAAUAUGCUGAUAAGGUUAGAAUGGGCCGAGCUCAGAUUAGCCACAAAGACUGUUCCUCUCUGGGCCCACUUAUCAAUAUUUUAACAUUUUUUUUAAUGGAGCUCGACAAUGAACAAAUUUUGAAGGUAAUUACUUGAUGUUAGUUAGAGAACCUCUAUGUCUAAGGGAACUACGAGUUCAAGGAAGCUUUGAGGUAUGCUCAUGUGACCCUACUUCUUGUUCUUUAUGCAUAAACAUAUUCAAGUUGCAUGUUCAAGGCUUGCCAUCUAAUCAUUAUAUAAUAUUUUGAUCAUCUAUUAUAAAAAUAUAAAAAAAACUAUGUAACUGGGCCUUGGUGCAAUAAGAACUUAAGCAUUAGCUUCAUGUAUGUAGGAAAAGUAGCAAAUAAUUUCAAUUGUAAAAUGAAUGCUUUGGUUUCUUUUCUUGUUAAUGCCGUUUGACUGGUUGUUUUGUCUUAGUGGUUCUUUGACCUCUCUUUGGUCUUUUUAUUGAAAGUUAUGUUGAGAAACUGAAAUUAACUUAAACGUAAAAGGAUUUUUUGAGUAAACAUAUUUCACAGCAUAAGAAUACUGCAGUUUUCCUCUCUUAUAUAUAUCUGAAAAACAAAGCUUACAAAAUAACAAUCUCCACAAUAACCACUAACACACAAGUGCAGAUUUUGUGGAGUUCAACUACCUUAAGCAACGGAAGCAAAUUUGAACGUGGUGAACAGACUAAACCACAACUUCUACAUUCUAGGACUUCAGCUUGACUUGGUCUCUACAUGGCCAUGUCAGCAUUAUUUAAUUAAAAAACUAAUUAAACUUAACUAAAUAACUUUUAACACCCUCCCUUAAACUGAUUUUUACGAAAAACAGUUUAGGAUCUCUACACCAUCACAUAAUCAUCUUCCUGUUCAAUGCUUUGAAAUGAACAAACUCCCAACAUGCUUCUCAGCUUCUCAAGCGCAGGUACCAUCACAUAAUCAUCUUCCUGUUCAAUGCUUUGAAAUGAACAAACUCCCAACAUGCUUCUCAGCUUCUCAAACGCAGGUUGCUUCAAAGGCUUAGUUAAGAUGUCUGCAACCUGCUCCCCACUCUUGCAAUAUUCAAGUACAAUCUUCCCAUCACUGCACAGGUCACGCAAAAAAUGAAAACGUACAUCAAUGUGUUUACUUCUCCCAUGCAUGACUGGAUUCCUCGAUAGCUUUAUAGUUGACAUGUUGUCGCAGUAGAUGGUUGUUGGUCCCUUUUGAACAUCACCAAGCACUUCAAAUAUUUUCCUAAGCGACAUAGCUUGACAGGAGCUUGCAGCUGCUGCUACAUAUUCAGCUUCUGUUGAGGAAAGUGUCACAAUUUGUUGCUUCUUUGAGGACCACGAUAUUGCACCAGAGUUGAGCAGAAAUGUGUGACCGGAAGUGCUCUUACGAUCAUCUAUAUCACCUGCAUAGUCACUAUCUGUGUACCCAACAAAACCAGAACCAUCUUCCCUUUUAUAAAACACACCAUAAUCAAUUGUCCCCUUUACAUACCUGAGAAUUCUCUUUGCUGCAUUGAGAUGCAUUUCAGUUGGUUUUUCCAUAUAUCGGCUCACAAGACUCACUGCAUACAUGAUGUCAGGCCUCGUGUAUGUUAAAUACAUGAGACUCCCAAUUAUCUGUUUAUAGAAAGUGCUGUCAACCUCCUUUCCACCUUUGUCUUUGCAUAGCUUUAAGCCAUGUUCAGCUGGAGUUCCAAAUGGCUUGCAGUCAUCCAUCUGAAACCUGUUAAGAAUGUCCUGUGCAUAUUUUUUCUGGUAGAUGAAAUUACCAGCAGUAGUUUGAAUGACUUCCAAUCCAAGAAAAUAGUGCAUUAAUCCUAGAUCAGUCAUUUCAAACUCCAUCAUCAUAGACUUCUUGAAUUCAUCAAACAUUUUAGCAUCACUUCCAGUGAAUAUCAAGUCAUCAACAUACAAGCAUACCAUGAGUAUUUUACCUUCUUCCUCAGUCUUGACAUAAAGUGUGUGCUCAAAAGGACAUUUGUGAAAUCCAAGCUUAGCAAAGUGAGCAUCUAUGCGACUGUACCAAGCUCGAGGUGCUUGUUUCAGUCCAUAGAGUGUUUUCUUCAGUUUGAACACCUUCUCUUCUUCUCCUUUUCUCUCAUAACCAGGUGGUUGAUCAAUGUACACCUCCUCUUGCAGGUUUCCAUGCAGGAAUGCUGACUUCACGUCUAACUGAAAAAUUUGCCAGGAAUUUUGAGCUGCAAGAGAGAUCACUAACCUAAUCGUGUCGUGCCUCGCAACUGGGGCAAACACCUCUUUGUAAUCAAUGCCAUGCUUCUGCUUGUAGCCCUUAGCUACCAAACGAGCUUUGUGCUUGUCAACCUCACCUUUUUCGUUCAACUUUGUUCUAAACACCCAUUUAACACCAAUGGUUUGCUUUCCCUUUGGAAGAUCAGUUAACUCCCAGGUUUGAUUCUUCUCAAUGGACUUGAUUUCAUUGUCCAUUGCUUCCCUCCAUUUCUCCUCUUUAACAGCCUCAGUAUAUGUGAUUGGAUCACUAUCUACAAGUAAUGCAAAGUGAGCAUUUUCAUCAUCAGAACUUGAAUAACUUACAUCGUAGUCCAUCAUCCAUGCUGGCCUCUUCCUUGAGUUCUCAUCUCUCAAAUUGUAUCUCUCUUCUUCAAACUGUUGAGAUGACUGAACUUCAAGUUGAGGUGGCUGCUGGGCUUGAGUUUCAGGAGCUGCUACCUCUUCAUUGUCUAAAUCAUCAUAAACUGGAAUUUGUUGUUGAACCGAUCUGUUCUCAGACCAAUUCCACAUAGUGUCUUCAUCAAAUAUCACAUCCCUGCUUACCACUAUCUUCUUUGUAACUGGAUUGUACAGUUUGUAUGCUUUUGAGACUUCACUUACACCAAGAAAAACACAUUUUUCACUUUUGUCAUCCAACUUCUUUCUUUUCUCAUCGGGGAUGUGUGCAUAUGCUAUGCACCCAAACACCCUAAAGUGAUCAACCGCAGGCUUCAAUCCACUCCAAGCUUCUUGAGGAGUCAUAUUCUUAACAGAAAAUGUGGGACUUCUGUUUAAAAUAUGAACUGACCAUAGCACAGCUUCAGGCCAAAACUUCUUGGGAAUUCUUCCUUUGACUAGCAGACUUCGAACCAUGUUGAGAAUGGUGCGAUUUUUCCUCUCACUUACACCAUUUUGUUGUGGUGUAUAGGCAGUGGUCAACUGUCUCUUGAUGCCUUUCUCUUUGCAAAAUGCAUCAAAUUCCUUCGAACAGUACUCUCCCCCACGGUCAGUUCUUAGAGUUUUAAUCUUCUUUUCUGAUUCAUUUUCAACUAGAGCUUUGAAGCUUUUGAAUGCUUCAAAUGCCUCUGAUUUUUCCUGCAAGAAAUAUACCCAUGUCUUUCUACUAAAAUCAUCAGUAAAGGAGAUGAAAUAUUUCUUGUUACCAUUUGAGAUGGGAUUUAUUGGUCCACAUAGAUCAGAGUGAACCAUCUCCAGGAUUUAUUGAGCCCUUGCUGCCUUGCCACUUGGAAAAGAGUCUCUUUUGUGCUUCCCAGUGAUGCAUUCUUCACACAUCUUUGAUGGAGGAGUUAUAUCAGGUAAGCCAGUGACCAUCCCUUUCUGGUGAAGUGUUCUCAAGCCAUUAAAAUUCAAAUGGCCAUAUCUGUAGUGCCAUCUCCACGGGUCAUCUUCUUUGGCAAAUAAGCAAGCCUGCAGAGUCUUGAUUUUCAAAGGAAACAAUCUGUUGGAAGACAUUUUCACAACAGCAAUGGACCCUCUUUUUGGGUCGUACACUUCCCACUCUCCUUUAUAGAUUGUAAUCCUAUAGCCUUUAUCUUGUAACUGACCAGCACUCAGCAAAUUUGUCUUCAAAUCAGGAAUAUAAAAAACAUUUGAGAUAGUUUCAAUAAAGUCAUUUUUAGUUUUGAUUUGAAUAUCUCCCUUACCCAUCACUUUCACUGUUGACUUGUCACCAAAACUCACUACCGUGUGAAAGCUUUCAUCCAAAUUAAUAAAGGAAGACUUACAUCCACUCAUGUGAUUGCUGCAGCCUGUGUCCACAUACCAUGUCUCCUGAUCAGUUUUUGUCAGUGCAUGAAAAGCCAUCAAAAGUGUCUCUUCCUCCUUCUUUUUCUCCACAAAAUUUGACUUUUCUCCUUUUUCUUUUGGUAACUUCGUGUAGCACUCAUUCUUGUAGUGCCCAAAAUUUCCACAUCUAUAACACUCCACUUUUGACUUAUCAAAGUGGUACGUUCCUUUUUCUUCAAAGUCAUCAUCUCUUUUGAAAACAUGAGAUGACUUGCUGUCAUCUCUAUGUCCAGACCGUCCACCUCCUCGAUGACCUCGACCACCUCUUCCUCUAUCACGUCCACCUCUUCCACGACCUCUUCCUCCUCGAGAACUUGAGGACUCAGAAACAAUGGAAGCUUUCAGAGCUGUUUGUUCUUCACUGGCAGUGGUGCGGUUAAGUCUUUGUUCAUGCACUAACAAAGAGCUUUGUAGUUCAUCAACUCGUAACUCAGCAACGUUCUUUGCCUCUUCAAUUGAACAGACAAUGUAGUCAAAUUUUGGAGUCAAUGAUCUCAUAAUUUUCUCCACAACUUUGACUUCUUCCAUGGUGCCACCAUUGGAUCUCAUCUUGCUUGCUAUUCCCAGAGUUCUAGCAAAGAAAUCAGUGAUGGACUCUCCUGAUUUCAUUUGUAAAGUUUCGAAGUCCCUUGUUAGAGUUUGAAGCACUGCACGCUUCACCCUCUCUGACCCUGCAUAUUUCUUCUUCAAAGAAUCCCAUAUUUGUUUGGAGGUCUCCUUCUCGAGUAUCGUCUCCAAGAUAGAUCGAUCAAGUGCCUGAAAAAGGUAAUUUUUCACCCUCAAGUCCUUCAGCUUCUGUUCAGCAACCCUCUUUUGUUGUUGUUCAGUCAACACAACUCCCUCUGCUGGGGCGUCAAUUCCUGAUUCCACAAGAUUCCAAUACUCCUUUGACCUGAGAAAAUUUUCCAUCAGCAUGCUCCAAUGGUCGUAGUGACCAUCAAAUCGUGGAAUCGCUGGUUGAAUAAAACUCUCAGUGGCUUUCUCUGUUGCCAUUGUUUCUUGCUGCUGCAAGACACAAUCUUUCACCUUUUUUUCAAGUUUGUUCAGGCCCAGAAGAGCUCUGAUACCAGAUGUUGAGAAACUGAAAUUAACUUAAACGUAAAAGGAUUCUUUGAGUAAACAUAUUUCACAGCAUAAGAAUACUGCAGUUUUCCUCUCUUAUAUACAUCUGAAAAACAAAGCUUACAAAAUAACAAUCUCCACAAUAACCACUAACACACAAGUGCAGAUUUUGUGGAGUUCAACUACCUUAAGCAACGGAAGCAAAUUUGAACGUGGUGAACAGACUAAACCACAACUUCUACAUUCUAGGACUUCAGCUUGACUUGGUCUCUACAUGGCCAUGUCAGCAUUAUUUAAUUAAAAAACUAAUUAAACUUAACUAAAUAACUUUUAACAAGUUAAUCAAAUAAAAUAAAAAUAAAACAACAAUUAGAAGGGUUGCAAUUAGAUAGGCUUGCUAGGCUCCAAGAGGUGCAAGACUGUCUUUUGAUUAAAGUUCAAGCUCCCAAGUCCAAAUUUGGGGCACCAACUAGCCUAUCUCAUUGCAGGCGCUUAACACUUGAAGGGACUGGCGCAAUGAUUUACUAGUAAAAUUUGUAAUAGCUUAAGACUUCGCUAGUAUCAUUUAGUAGUUACAAAUCACUUUACUUCGCCAGUAGUGAGUCCCAAUAUCGGCUGAAUUGCUCUUUCGCCAGUAUUAGUCUGUCGGUAUAAGCUAAAAUUGUAGUAGUGUAAGCUAAUUCUUGAUUUACUGUAAUUAUUCCCUUAUCGGUUAAAACUUCAAAUCAUCAAAGAAAAUCAAAGCACUCUCUAAGAAUUUCACCCUUUAAGAGUGCAUUGAGGCAAACCUAAAAAAAUUCUUCUUCAUCAUCAUCUUGUCACGCUUCCUGAAUCCACCAUAGGAGAUUUUAGUUUGGCCCUCUGGAUGUCCUCUUUUAGGUCUUUACGCACCGCUUCUUGGGGCUUAUCACUUGAGCUCCCAAAGAUCACUCUCUUAGCUUCAGCAAAACUUCCGUCGUGAUCUCGUUUGCGUUUCCCUAGGAUCUCCAAGGCCUCCAGCUGUUUUUGCAUCUCUUUAGAAUAAGAAGUUACCAUCUUUGAUAACUUUUCAUUUUCUGCCUGCAAUAUUUGAAGCUAGCGUUGAUUCUCCUCUGCUGUUUUUUCCUCUUUUUUUUUUUUUCAAUCUUUUGAUCUCACGCCGAUAUUCAUCAACCAAAUUCUGCUCUGCCACAACUAAGCUCUCAGUACUUGCACCUCAUAAGAUUUUGCAAUGAGGCGAUGCCCCACACUUGUGAUAGUUGUCGCAUUUUGCAAGCACAGUGCCACAACAUUGCUCACUAACCGGUUGUCAUCCCCCGUUCCUAGUAUGCAUACAUCCCUGGGAGUCACCAAACUCUUCGCAACUCCAAUGGCAACCUCGUUGUCAAGGAGUAACGAGUCGCUUUUUGUCACUGGUCCUCGUGAAGAAGCAAAGUAGGGUAUCCAGACUGGUGCAACUCCUUGCCCCUAUGUCUGUGUUGGCGGAGCUAGGUUAAGAUCCAAAGAAGAUGAGAAGGGAUACGACAUUUUCUUUCUGCUUUCUUUUUCUUUCAUUUUCUCUCUUUUCUCUUUCUUCUUUCCUUUCUCUUUUCUUUCUUUCUUUUCUCUCUUCUGCGUGGUUGUAAUUCUUCUUUUUCCUUUGUUUCCUUUAAUAGAUGAACCCUAGCACCAUUGCACCGUCUAAUUUUUCCGCAUUCCUUGAGCUCCACAGCCUUCUCGCUUUCCACCGUCUACAACUUUGUCGCGACUUGUGCAACGUCGUCCCUACUAUCCAUGGCACCCAUAAUUCCGCUUGUAGAUUUGUCGUACCUCUGCGCGUCGACACAUGUCUCCUCUCUCUAGGGGUGGGCAUUGGAUUUGUGGUUCAAAUUGAUUUAGGGUUGAUUAAAAUAAAAUGGCAGCCCUAGAAACAGUGACCAGGUAUCUAUCCCAUAUGACAUAAAACAUUUAAAAACAUCCAUGGGACUAUAUUUAAAAAAUCAACUUGAUAAUGUUUAGUUGGAUUGUAUAAUGUGUUUUGUUUUGUUUUGUUGGAUUAUAAAAUGUUUAAGUUUCUGUUUUUUUGUUUAUUUAUAAAAUCAUCCAUGGGACUUCAUUUUCGGUUCAAGGUUCCAUUUUUUUAAGAAACCAGUCCAAAUCGGACCAUGCCCACCCCUACCUCUCUGUCUCUUUUUUUGCUUUGUUUUCCUUCUCUCUCUCUCUCUCUCUCUCUCUCUCUCUCUCUCUCUCUCUCUCUCUCUCUCUUCCUUAUAUAUUCUCUCCUCUCUCUGUUUUUUUAUUUAAAUUUUUUCAAUUGUGAGUUUUGUAACAUGCAUGUUAUUUUAUUUAUGAACCCAUUACACGACUCCAAACUCACACAAAAAAAGACGACCCGAACCCAAGAAGACAUGUUUAUUAAAUGGGUUAGAUUCGGGUUGAGCAUUCUUGACACGUUUGUUAAUUGGAUUGGGUUAAAUAAAUCAAUGACAGCAUAAAAUGAACACAGGGUUUGUGAAAAAUGUGAUAUUUUCAAUGACUAUAUUAAUAAAUCUUUAUUUUUUGAGUAGUUAGAUUUUUGCACAAAGCUUACCUUCCUCAACUGAUAGCUGCAUUGAUCUUUUGUCUAGCUCAACGGCGUGUCUGCUAAGCUCAGAUGGUGAUAAUUGACGAAGCGCUGGCAACAUGAUGAACGAAGAGCAUUUUCAGUGCUGGCAAAACUAAAGGCAGAAAAAUUGUAUGAAAUUUUUUAAAUUGAAAGAGCAGUGCCAUAAUAAAAUGACCUACUCUGGAUCUAUUCUCUCUGAUCAGAAUCAUCAAAUUGCUUCAAGAGGUUCUUGAAAUGUAGAAACCCUUCUGUCCUUUGCUCAUCAUGGUUCUUCUCAGAACCAACCAAGUGAGGAACCAGAGAUUCAGGAGUGAAUCUAAGUUGCCUGGAAUGAGCAGCUGGCAAUCCAUUGGAACAGGUGGUUUACCAGGUGAAAAAUCUACCGGAGAAGCCAAGGGCAUUGGUGCGAACGCAGAUGUCUCAUGUUCCUGCUUCUUGGUUCUGUCUCUAGGUAGGUCUUGCUGCUUUUGCAAACAAUAUCGUUUGAAAUUGAGAGAGUAAGUAUUUUGUUCUCACACCUUUAACUCUUCGCUUGCCUAAUGCUGAAUCUAACUUCCUCGCACUACCACCAUGCAUGAGCUGAUCACUUGCACUGCUGAUGCUCGUGAAUUGGUGACAAGGGGAGCUCCGUGGCAACUCAGGGUUGAGUAUCUUAGUUCCCAAAACCUUAAUGGGAUGCGCGACUGGUCGUCCUAGAAAAACAUACUUGUUAGGGUUAGAGGUCCAUCGGAGUAGUCAUUAGCUGCUAAUCAACCCGAGAGAGAGAGAGAGAGAGAGAGAGAGAGAGAGAGAGAGAGAGAGAGAGAGAGAGAGAGAGCAAAGAAGAAAUGUGGGGCGUGUUUUUUUUUUCCUAAUCUUAUAAUUAAGCGUGUGUUUUCUAAAUCGGGGCAUGUGAGUUGUAUUAGUCGGGUAAUGAGAGUAUUAAAAACUUUCGUUUAAUAUAAUUCAGUAAUUAAGUAAUACAAGUUGACAUCAAACAAAUGACAUUGACUAUUUACUCAUAUCCAUAGUCUAAUACCAUGUACCAAACAUACCUAUACGAGCUUUUGCCACAUGACUCAUCUAACAUGACAAUCCAAGUCCACAAACACAAGCAUACACACUAAGACAGGACACUCAUAUGCAUGUGAACUACAAGAACGACUGCAUAAUAUCUUGUAUAGAAACAAGACAAUACAACCGGCGCUUAUUACAUUGGAACUACAGUUCACAUUACAUACCAAAUUUAGUAUAACACAGAUAGGAAUUCAAACAUUUGACUUGGCAUAACCCUCAAAUGCUUGGCCUCACAUUGAGACGGGAUAAAAGCUUUUGACCCAGAGACUU
rnacentral:lncRNA from 1 species